rnacentral:rRNA from 1 species
UGGUAGAACCGGGGUAAGCGUGUAGGAGGAGGACCAGGCAAAUCCGGGCCUCACAUACUCUGAGACGUGAUACCGAGCCGCUUCAGGCGAAGUCAUUAAUCCUAUGCUGCCUAGAAAAGCCCAGUAGCGAGUUGACAUGGUGCCCGUACCCCAAACCAACACAGGUGGACAGGUAGAGCAUACCAAGGCGAGUGGGAUAACUAUGGUUAAGGAACUCGGCAAAUUUCCUCCGUAACUUCGGGAUAAGGAGGACCCCAGUAGCGUGACGAGACUUGCUCUCCGAGCGUGAAGGGGUGGCACAAAAUUGAGGGAAGCGACUGUUUACCAAAAACACAGCAGCGUGCUAAGCCGUAAGGCGCUGUAUACGCUGUGACUCCUGCCCGGUGCUGGAAGGUUACGGGGAUGGGUUAGUCCUUCGGGACGAAGCUCUGAACCUAAGCCCCAGUAAACGGCGGCCGUAACUAUAACGGUCCUAAGGUAGCGAAAUUCCUUGUCGGGUAAGUUCCGACCUGCACGAAUGGAGUAACGACUUCCCUACUGUCUCAACCAUAGACCCAGCGAAAUUGAAGUACGAGUAAAGAUGCUCGUUAGCUGCAGAAGGACGGAAAGACCCCGUGGACCUUUACUAUAACUUGAUGUUGUGUUUUGUCAUAUGUUGUGUAGGAUAGGUGGGAGACAAGGAAGCAUGGACGCUAGUCUGUGUGGAGUCAUCGUUGAAAUACCACCCUGCGUAUGGUGAGGCUCUAACCUAGACCCGUUAUCCGGGUUGGGGACAGCGUCAGGCGGGUAGUUUAACUGGGGCGGUUGCCUCCUAAAGAGUAACGGAGGCGCCCAAAGGUUCCCUCAGCCUGGUUGGCAAUCAGGCGUCGAGUGCAAUGGCAAAAGGGAGCUUGACUGCGAGACCUACAAGUCGAGCAGGAGCGAAAGCUGGGCAUAGUGAUCCGGCGGUUGCGUGUGGAAGCGCCGUCGCUCAACGGAUAAAAGGUACCCCGGGGAUAACAGGCUAAUCUUGCCCAAGCGUCCAUAGCGACGGCAAGGUUUGGCACCUCGAUGUCGGCUCAUCGCAUCCUGGGGCUGAAGCAGGUCCCAAGGGUUGGGCUGUUCGCCCAUUAAAGCGGUACGCGAGCUGGGUUCAGAACGUCGUGAGACAGUUCGGUCCCUAUCCUCUGUAGCCGUAGGUGAAUUGAGGAAAGCUGUCCCUAGUACGAGAGGACCGGGACGGACGCAGCUCUCGUGUGCCAGUUGUCCUGCCAAGGGCAUGGCUGGUUAGCGACCUGCGGAAAGGAUAACCGCUGAAAGCAUCUAAGCGGGAAGCCUCUUCCGAGAUGAAUUCACCCACAGGGUUACCUGGUAAGGCCCGUGGUAGACCACCACGUUGAUAGGCCGGAAGUGUAAGCGUGGCAACACGUUCAGCUGACCGGUACUAAUCGGCCGAGGGCUUGAACU